UAAGACCUGCCCAAUGUAAAUAUUAAUGGCCGCGGUAUUCUGACCGUGCGAAGGUAGCAUAAUCAUUAGUCUCUUAAUUAGAGGCUGGUAUGAAUGGUUAAACGAGAAGAUGACUGUCUCUCACGUAAUAAUUGAAUUUCAUUUUUAAGUGAAAAAGCUUAAAUGUGCCUGAAGGACGAUAAGACCCUAUAGAGCUUCACUCCCCCAAAAUAUAAAUAACCAAGGAUUUAUGGACACUAUUUGACGGGAGUUGCGUUGGGGCGACGACAAGACAAAAAGUAACUCUUUAUUUUAUGAACAGGCAAAACUGAAGAGAUGAUCCUCGCGGAGAGAUCAGAUGAACAAGUUACCUUAGGGAUAACAGCGUAAUCCUUCUAAAGAGUUCACAUCGACAGAAGGGUUUGCGACCUCGAUGUUGGAUUAAGAGUUCACCAAGGUGCAGAAGCUUUGGUAGAUGGUCUGUUCGA
rnacentral:rRNA from 1 species